rnacentral:sRNA from 5 species
CAUUAUUCACUACAGCGAUGUAGUUAACUCGAUGAGCAAUGCAGAAGUUUGCACUUGUCGGGGAAGGGUGAGAACGUUGCCAACGGCAACGGCCCGUAGGGUGAGGAGCGAAGCGACGAAUAAUCCUUCCCCCACCACCA